GUUUGCACUCUGAGAUCCCUACUGCCCGGAGCUGUCCAGAAAGAGGGAUCUGGAGACCCAAAGGAGUCCGGGAGGAAAGAUCAGAGAGGCGCUGGCAGUGGACUAGGAAGCUCGGCUGGUACUGCUUUCCCCCCCGCCCCUGGGCUUCAGCGAGAGUCUUUGCCUGUCGAACAAGAAGGGGUGAGGAUCAUAUUUUUAUUUUGGAAACUAAAAAGUGCUCCCGGGGUCGGCGAUCGUGAAGGGGAAAUCCCUGAAUGUACUCUCCAGCCAAGAAGGCAGGGCUGCCCGCCUGCACGGGAAGAGGCGGCAGCCUCCUACAGCACCACUACAGGCACUGCGAGGACAUAGCACCACAGCGCAGUUCCUCUGCCCUCCGAAACGACAACUUUCCUACCAUCUUGGAGGCAGAGAGCGAAGAGGGGCCAAGGGGGAAAGUGCACCGGCUCCGGAGAAAGUGCAAAUUUCUACCUCGCCUCUCCGGGGGGCGGGAAAAAGUCUACACCGGCGCCUAAGGGUUUGAAAAGCUGGGAUGGAAACAGAAUCGAGUUCAUUCGCCCCCGUAGAGGGGGGAAUGUCUGUCUCUGCACCUUCUGAUGGCAAGAAAUCUUGACAAGACACAGGUUUUACGAUAUUAUCGUUGCUUUCCGUUUUAACUUUUUUUUUUUCUUUUUUCCGUGAUGGUGACAGUGGUAGCUUCAUGUUUUUCUUUUUUCCUCCAGGCUAAUAAUGGUUGUUUUUUUUUCUUCUCUAUGGCAGGUCCAAGUUCUGUGUCUGCUGGUUAGUGUGUAAAUUGGCACUUCAGAGACGUCAAGGUCACUUUAUUGUGUUUAUUUCAUUGCCCGUUUAUAUUGCAUGUAUGCGUGUUUAUGUUCUCGUGUGUUGUAGUGGAGGUUCUGUGGUUUUGGUAUCCACGAAACUGAGGGCGCAGCAAGUCAACUGAAAAGGGAUGUCUUUUGUCUUUUCUCAAAGCCGUGGAAGUAAAACCUAUUGACUGUCCAGAAAGGCCUAAUACAGCUGUUUAUUUUUCACAGUGCAAAUUAAAGCACUGUGUAUUUAAACUCUCCUUACAGCAGACCAAGCCUGUCAUGGUCUGUCUGCCCGAGAAGAAAGAUUACUCCUGUAAACCUAGCAGUAGAUUGAAAGAUGCUUUGGAUUUUCUUUAAGUAAAGUUAUUUAUUAAGAAUUACA